AGGAAAUGGUGGUUGGAAACAUUCCAACGCGUCAUUUUUGUUCUCCCUACGCAACAAAGACAACCUUGCUCCAUUUAUUGCCAACAUCAAGCAAGGUGAGGAGCAGUUUGCAAUCUACUGUUUCUCUCGUUAUGGACCAUUAUUUGGCGGAGGUCAUGAUCUGCGUAUUUGUAACAAUCCUCAAGUUAAGCAAUCAUGCAGCAAUUUCGGAUACACAUACCAACUUCCCCCUGAUUAUGUCUAUAACAGCGAACAGUCAAAGAACCUUCUUGCUCGUCAGCACAAAUUCGUAACGACACAAAUUGAAGUCUUCAACUGAAAAGUCUGAAAACUGCCUUUGUUUACUUACUUCAACGAAAAAUAACAUGAUAUCGAUUACCACCGGUCUUAACAAUCAAUUUUAGACAGUGAUGUUGCAAAACUAUGAAGUAUUAAGAAUUAGUAUGAAUAGUUUAAGACGUGUGUACGAAUCUUGAAAAUUAGAAUUGGUUGUUAGCCUCAACACUAGCAGUUCCUGGAGUCAACAAAUCAAAGUCGUCGAAGAAAACGUGAAAAACUGAUUGUUACAGCCACCGGUAAUCAAUUAUGUAUUGUUAUUUUGGUUAAUGCAAGUAAUCAGCAUUUAGGUAAAUCAACAUUUAAUUUUCGACCGAAUACUUUAAAUCGGAUCGGAUCUGACCAUUUUACAU